UUCUCCAGGGAGAAGAGGCAAGGAGCGGCUCAGUUGCCUGUUCUGAGACUCUACUUCAAGGGGAGCAAGAGCCCUUCACCUGAAAUCCUCCCACGAUGCUGUGGCUGCUGCUGCUGCAGGUCUGGGCGAGCUGCCUCUGGCUGGGCCACAGCGAGCUGGUGCCGUUGUUUGUAAAUUGUCUUCAGUUCUUCUACGGUAACACCCCCCCAGAUGCAGCAAUGAAGCCACAGAACCCAGCCUGGAUCUGCCAGACCUUAAACAACCAGCGUUUCUUUGCCACCUUGUACGACAGACAGAAGCGUAUUCCCAUGUACUCUGCUUAUAAAUACGAGCCUGGAAAGGUCCUCACAAACCACACAUGGACAGUUGAGCCCCAGCUGAUAGAUGACCAUUGCCCCAAGACAUGUACACAGUGCAGGCCCUUGAACGUGCAUACAACAUCACCAGAGCGCAAAUCAUGCAAAGCCAGGCUGUCAACGCAGACUAUGAUCACAGCGGCUGGGACCGUGGCCAUUUGAACCCUAAUGGCCACCACAACACCAUGGAGAGCAGGAAUGCGACCUUCACCCUCACCAACAUAGUGCCCAUGAACGAAAAACUCAACCGAGGCGCCUGGAAAAAGUACGAGCAGCAAACGAUGCGCCAGAAAACCAAGAAAUGUCAAACUGACAAAAUCUUCGUCAUUGUGGGUGCUGUGCCUGGGAACUCCUCCAUUGCUGGUGGGAGGGUUAAUGUACCCAGCCACAUCUGGUCUGGUGCCUGCUGCAAGACCAAGAACAACACUGUGAGUGCUUGGGCAGCCAUUGCCCGAACAGCAAGCAGAACAGGAUCUGGAAAACCUCUCUGGGCACCUGGAGAAGAGGUUGGCCCAGCUGUAUGGAAUGCAAAAUGUUUCUCUCUUCCAUGACGACUGUCCCCGUAACACAAGCCUCACAUCCUGAGCGUAAACGGCUUGGUGGCUUUUCCCACAGAUCACAGAAUCACAGAAUGCUUUGAGUUGGAAUGGACCUCAAAGAUCAUCCAAUUCCAAACCCCCCUGCAAUAUAGCAGGGACACCUUCCACUAGGCCAGGUUGCUCAGAGCCACCUCCAACCUGGCCUUGAACACUUCCAGGGAUGGGGCAGACACAGCUUCUCU